UGUUGGCUUAGAAGCAGCCAUCAUUUAAAGAAAGCGUAAUAGCUCACUGGUCGAGUCGGCCUGCGCGGAAGAUGUAACGGGGCUAAACCAUGCACCGAAGCUGCGGCAGCGAACGUAUCACUUAAAGCGAUUCAGCGGGUUACGAUUGACGGAGCGAAGCGACGUCAAAGCGUAUACAAAGUCGAGUCGGUUUAAGGAUACGUUCGUUGGGUAGGGGAGCGUUCUGUAAGCCUGUGAAGGUGUGUCGUGAGGCAUGCUGGAGGUAUCAGAAGUGCGAAUGCUGACAUAAGUAACGAUAAAGCGGGUGAAAAGCCCGCUCGCCGGAAGACCAAGGGUUCCUGUCCAACGUUAAUCGGGGCAGGGUGAGUCGACCCCUAAGGCGAGGCCGAAAGGCGUAGUCGAUGGGAAACGGGUUAAUAUUCCCGUACUUGGUGUUACUGCGAAGGGGGGACGGAGAAGGCUAUGUUGGCCGGGCGACGGUUGUCCCGGUUUAAGCGUGUAGGUGUGUGUUCCAGGUAAAUCCGGUUCACUUUAACACUGAGGCGUGACGACGAGGCACUACGGUGCUGAAGCAACAAAUGCCCUGCUUCCAGGAAAAGCCUCUAAGCAUCAGGUAACAUCAAAUCGUACCCCAAACCGACACAGGUGGUCAGGUAGAGAAUACCAAGGCGCUUGAGAGAACUCGGGUGAAGGAACUAGGCAAAAUGGUGCCGUAACUUCGGGAGAAGGCACGCUGACACGUAGGUGAAGUGAUUUACUCAUGGAGCUGAAGUCAGUCGAAGAUACCAGCUGGCUGCAACUGUUUAUUAAAAACACAGCACUGUGCAAACACGAAAGUGGACGUAUACGGUGUGACGCCUGCCCGGUGCCGGAAGGUUAAUUGAUGGGGUCAGCGCAAGCGAAGCUCCUGAUCGAAGCCCCGGUAAACGGCGGCCGUAACUAUAACGGUCCUAAGGUAGCGAAAUUCCUUGUCGGGUAAGUUCCGACCUGCACGAAUGGCGUAAUGAUGGCCAGGCUGUCUCCACCCGAGACUCAGUGAAAUUGAACUCGCUGUGAAGAUGCAGUGUACCCGCGGCAAGACGGAAAGACCCCGUGAACCUUUACUAUAGCUUGACACUGAACAUUGAGCCUUGAUGUGUAG
rnacentral:rRNA from 1 species